UGAACAGAUCUUUUCAUACCACCCAGUUAAACAGUGGCAAAUUGUUAUCUUGUCUCCACUUGGCCCUGUGCACGGCUACUGGGCUUCCUGCUUUAGGCCCUAACUUCAUUGGUGGAGCAGGUGGAGCCCCUGCUCUGUGGGUGAAGGCACUUCCGGUGUCGGCCAUCUUAGGAGGAGGCUGUGCUGAGGCUGGGAGUCCACGGGGAGAGAGAACAUGAAGACACGGGGCCCUACAGUAGACAUACUGCAUCUGGGUCAAAUGAGGGAUGUCCAGCCUUUGCCAGAGCCAAUGGUCUGAACAAGCAGAGCCCAUAUGGGUCCGGGGCACAAAUGGAUUCUUGGCCUCCUCCUCCUCAAACGUGGUGAACACAGCUACAGGCUCAGACCCAGCAAACACUGAACUUCCCAGGACAUUCUCCCACCGGUCAGACUGGAAAUACCAGAAAAGCAAAGGUGGCUGCCCUCAGAGAUUUCCUGUUAAGGUCCAAAUUUUGAGAGUGCUCCCCAAUGCAAGAACACAUCUGGGAGACAUGUGUUUCUCUUCUUUGCUCCUUCACAAUGGUAAUUUUUCCGGCUACUACAGGAAGCUGGGCAGAUUCAGAAGUACGGGAGCCCCACCAAAGUCUGAGAUGAUAUUCAUUGAUGCUAUCAGCAUGUCUGAACGCCAACAUCUGCUUCAAGAGUGAUUGCUCAGAGAAGUUCAUCCAGUCCUAAAUUUGGUUGGUCUGUUUUGAGGUGAUAGCCUCAUAUUGAAGUAAUUUCUUCCCACCAAAGGGUCUAGAAUAGGUUCAGUUGUAACCAAUUUUAUGUAGUUGUGACUGCCUCAAGAAACCUGGAAAAGGUUAUUAAGAGUGUAUGUCUAGGCAUACGGAUAACUGCUCCAGCCCAACUGUCUGUGAACACCAUUAGUAGCCCUUGAAACAGUUCUCCAGGAAGUGCGGGCUGUUAAUAACUCUGCCCCGGGGCUCCUACGUGAGUCGAAUGUUGCAAGGAGCCCAAGUGCUCUGAAUUGACAACCUGCUGGGGAGACUGCAAUGAACCCAGGAAACAUUGCCGAAGGAAAGUGGAAAAUGAUCAACUCUCCCUGGCCAGUAGAUGGACUUAUCACUGUCGACAGACAAAAAGUGACAAACUGAUAGAUUAUGGAGCUGUGCCCCUUCUACUCACUCUGAAAAAGCCGCUACUUCAAACAGUCAGAAGUGCUAAAAUAUUUCUUGUGUGGCAAGAGAAAGAAUCUUCCCAUCAGUAACUAUUAAUUGACUUUCACUUUGUAGGAAAAUACUGUAUCACGUGCUUGGAGAUAGAAAAAUAUGCCUUCAGGAUGUUUACAAUCUAGCUACAGGGAUAAGACACAAGAUUGAAAACCUAGUUAAAAUGCAAAGCAGUGGAAUAUCCGCCCUAUGGGAUAAUAUUCUCCCACUGAAGUGAAUGAAGAAAAUCUGUAAGUACUGAAUGCGAAGUGGGAAAAGGCCAGCAACUGAACAAAAUACCAUCUACAUAAAAAUUAAAGCCAAGUGCCUAAGUAUGUAUGACCAUCCAUAUGUAUGCAAAUGCAUAAAGGAAACAGAAAGAGGAUACACCAAAAUUGAGACAAUUUCCUUCUCAGGAGGAAAGUGAGACUGGGGAAGGCUGUAAAGGACACUUUCCAUAUUUUUACUCAACACCCUUCUGUAUUGAAUAAAUUAUUCAGAACAAAAAAAAAUCUGUGUAUUUCUUACAUAAAAAGGGGGAAAGAGUGAAAAAUACAAAGCAAGUUCAUGAUAGACAGGUGAUUAAACCAAAGGUAAUCAUUGUGGUCCCAUCUCUCUGCAGUGAUUCCUUGAGCUUAAUCAUGUGAUAUAAUCAUGGCCAAUGGAAGGCUGCUGGGUAAAGCUUCCUCGCUCUUAAAGGGAGGAAUGAAGAAGAGAAAGCACAUCUUCUCCCUUCUGAUGGAUAUCAUAGCAUCCUGGAUGGGAAGCCUGG
ensembl:lncRNA